AGCGCGCCGCCGCCGCCGCCACCGCCUCCCGCUUCCCGGUGUCGCGCGGCUGCCGCCCUUCGCGGUGCAACAGCCACAAAACCCGCCGCCUCGGGCCGGGGCCGCACUCGGGAACGGGGCGUCGCCGCUACAGCCGCUGCCUUGGGAGCCGGUGAGCGGUCCGCGCGGCCCCGGGCACCACGGGGGCGGGAGCCUGAGGAGAAGGGAGGGAGGGGCCGGCCGGGAGCGGGGUUGAGGCGGGUGGGCGGCCCGGGGGCCGCGCGGGGAGCGGCUGGCGCGUGCGGGGCGGCCCUGUCGCCCCAAUAAAGUCUGCUUUGACGAGAAUCGCCUGUGCUUCCUUUUUCGCGUCGGGAGGUGUUUGUUCUUGUCGCCUGGCUUCGGGCGAGCGAUGGCCGCGGGGUGAGUGUGGAGGACCGAACGGACAAAAUCGGGCGACGCGGGCAGCGUCCGGUAUCUCGCCGCGAGCGCCCGGCGGGGUGCGGGGCCGAGCGCGGGGUCGGCGCGAGCUCGGCGGAAGCGCCCGCGGAGCCCCAGGGCCACCGUUGGGAGGAUGUCCGUUAUUCUUUAGUGACCCGCGGAAACCUGAGACGCAGCCGUUGGGUGCCUGUUUCCCCGUAGAUCUUAGAACUACAGGGUCCUGGCGGCUUUCUAAAAUUUUCUCCUGAGCUUCCCCUUCUUUGCUCUCCAGUCAGCCAUUGUUUCCCUUGCCCACCCUUUCCCCCUAUUUGUCACUUUCAUAGGUGCUCCUUUUUACGCCCACCAGGUUUUGCAUUUGUCUCAUUUAAAAUUCCAAAUUUUUUCAGCCGUGUCCUCCAUUGUACCUGCAACAGAGCCUAGAUUUUUUUUUGUGGCACGGAUUAGCGGCAAGUUAAACCUUCCUGAAUGAGUUACAUUGCAGCGAAGUGUUUCUGCUCUUAUCUGUCCUUUUGGUCGACCUGACAAUUUGCCUUAAAGCAAAACAAAGAUUUCCUGAUUUUUAAGGAAACUAUGACAAAUUGAAGAGUUGGAAAGGUGUGUCUUUGUUGUACUCGUUUGGCCGAUUUAACGCCUCUGUGAAUUUGUUCAACUUAAAUAUUAUCAACAUUUACUGUUUUGUAAUAGUGUUCAUGCAGUUGAGGCCCAUGAUUUUCUGAACUGUACGCAAUACAUUAAUCUUAGGCUCAACUUGUUAAAACAAGUAGACUAUACAUUCUCAUUAAAAGGCAACUUUAUAAAUCCUAGUCCCUUCUUAUUGCUAAAUCGCAUUGGACUUGACUUUUGAGAAUAUUAGUGUAAGGAGUGACAAAUUAGAUCGUUUUCUCUUUGAAUCUGAGCUUUGAAACCUGAAUAAUUCCCCUUGGAGUACUGCACCCACUCAGUUUGGAAAAGUCAAAUCUGUUGAAUUAAGUCAUCUCUGGCUUUAUAGCUUAUAAACUCUGCAUAAAUAUUUCAUGAAUGGAAACCAGUUGUGGGAGAACUUUUACAUGUCUUAAUGCUUUUUAAAUUUCACUUUCCCCACUCUCUAGUAAUUGAUGGGGAAAUGGCACUGCAAGUAGUUGAUACUUCCCCAUAAACACCAAUUGUGAGAGCAAGAGAAAUGAGGGAAUUACCCAUUAAGCAUCCUGGUUUCUGAGCUGUAGAUCUGUAGGUGUUCACAUUCAAGUGGAGAAAGCCCAAAAGGAUUGAAAGCUUUGAGGAAAGGUAGUAGGUCAGAAAGCACUAAAAUGCUCCUGAAGGCCAUCCUAGUACCUGCUCCAGAAAAUAGCUUUUUAAACUUGCCCCAUAGGAGGUGACCUGUUAGGCCUUAAGUUUUUCUAGUGGGAGAUAUUCUUGUUUUCUACUGUUUAACGGUGGAGUAUCUUAUGACUAGACAUGCAAAGAUAAUGUGUCGUGUGGCUCUCGCUUGCUUGCACUUGCUAAAGGUAAAAAUUAUUUUAAAAGGACAGGUCAAAUUGCAGUUUCAGAAUCAUGGGAUUCUAAAAGUGAGGAUAGGCUGGGCGUGGUGGCUCACACCCAUAAUCCCAGCACUUUGGGAGGCUGAGGUAGGUGGAUCACCUGAGGUCAGGAGUUCCAGACUAGCCUGGCCAACAUGGUGAAACCCCGUCUCUACUGAAAAUACAAAAAUAAGCUGGGCGUGGUGGUGCACGCCUGUAGACCCAGCUACUUAGGAGACUGAGGCAGGUGAGUUAAUGGAAACCAGGAGGCGGAGGUUGCAACGAGCCGAGAUCGCGCCACUGCACUCCAGGCUGGGUGACAGAGUGACACUCUGUCUCUAAAAAAUAGUAAUAAAAGUGAGGAUAAAUUUAACUGCUGUGGGUUUUUUUGUUUUUGUUUUUCUGAGGCAGGGUCUAGCUUUGUCUCCCAGGCUAGAGUGCAGUGGCACAAUCAUAGCUUACUGCAGCCUUGAACUUCUGGAUUCAAGCAGUCCUCCCAUCUCAGCCUCCCAAAGAGCUAAGGACUACAGGUGCCCCACCACAUGCCCAGCUAAUUAAAAAAUUUUUUUUUUGGAUAUGAGGUUUUAAGGGCUCUGUUGCCCAGUCUGGUCUCCUGCCUUGGCCUCCCAAAGUGCUGGAGUGCACCUAGCCUCCCUACUUUUAUUCUGUUCUGUUUGUACAAAAUGCAUUGGGAUUCCCUCUGAAUUCCUAGAGUCCUUUUAUUUUGGCAAUAAUUGAUUAUUGUCUCUCAACCCUAUCUGAGCAAAGGCCAUGGCUUUGUCAGCUCAGUGCCUUGUGCAUGAAGUGAUGCCUUGUACGUGAAGCUUGCUUUUUUUUUUUUUUUUUUUUUUUUUGAGAUGGAGCCUCGCUCUGUCACCCAGACUGGAGUGCGGUGGCGCAAUCUUGGCUCAUUGCAACCUCCGCCUCCCGGGUUCAAGCGAUUCUCCUGCCUCAGUCUCCCGAGUAGCUGGGACCAUAGGCCCGCACCACCACACCUGGCUAAUUUUUGUAUUUUUAUUAGAGAUGGGGUAUUGCCAUGGGUGGCCAGGCUGGUCUUGAACUCCUGACCUCAAAUGAUCCACCCACCUCGGCCUCCCAAAAUGCUGGGAUUACAGGAGUGAGCCACCGCGCCUGGCGAUCACUUGCUUUUUGAUUCAUGCAAAAACGUGAAGUUUAAAGUACCAUGGCAGAGGGGAAUUCUGUGUGAUGUUGCUUGACCAUUUCUUAGUCACUACAACCUCCGUCUUCUGGGCUCAAGCGAUUCUCACUGCGGUGAGCCGAGAUCAUGCCAUUGCACUCCAGCCUGGGGAACAAGAGCAAAACUCCAUCUCAAAAAAAAAAAAUUGAACAUCAGCAACUAUAGAAGAAAUAAUAUUAGAUACAUCACAACAGUUGUGCAGAGCUUUCUAGAAUCUCCAAGAAAUCAGAGCUCACUAAUGGCUGAGGAGAUGCAGUGACAAAUAUUCUACAAGUAAUAUUCCUUUGACUACCUUCUCAGCACAGCAGCAGGACAAAGAUGUGGACUGUCAGCUGACAACUCCUUUGCCAUCUCCUCACCUCCCUCAUUUCCCAUUCAUUCAUUUUCUGAAACUUUCAUUAAAUACUCAAACUUGGGUUCAAGGAAGGAGGGUGAGGAGUGAGAGUAAGCAGAAGAAUAAAGGCUAUUAAGAGAUGCUGAUACCUCUCCUUCCUUGCCUAGUCCAGACAGUGUGUUCUCCUUUAUUGAUUACAGGGAGGCUAUUAAAUCUGAUUCAGCUAUAUCUCUAACAGAUUGGGAUUGAUUCAAGUCAUGAACUCAUGCUAAAUAAUUUUCCUUAUCAGAACUAAUUUGGCUGCCUCAUGAAAUUGCUUUGUGGUUCUAAUGUUUAGUUCUUUUGCAGUUCCUUCAAGUAGGAAGGAAAUAGGUGCUCUGCAUCAGUUACAGUAUUGAGACUGUUAGAGCCAGAUGGGGCAUCUAGUCCACAUUUCAUUUUGCAGACAAGGAAACUACCUAGGAGAUGUGCUCAACGUCACAUGGCGGUGUGGUAAAAAGGUAGUGAUUGAGGUGAAAAGCGAGAGCUUGACUUUCCUGCCUUUUGUGAGACUGCAAAACCUAUGUAAGUUUCAGUAGUGUGAUCCUGUUCCAAUUCACAUCCACGCCCAGUUUUCAAUGAAAUGUUUACAAAAAUCAGAAUGAAAAUUUUUGUGCAUGCAUCCAAAUUAGUUACCCCUAGUUUGGAUCCAAGUUAAAUGAAAAACUAGGUAUGUACAUGUUCUUAACUGUCUAAACUAUAGAUACCUUCUUGGUUGUGGAGUCUUUGAAACCUGAGCUAUUAAAGGGAUACUUUCCCACCAAAUCAAUGCAUAUAUUAGAUUUGGAGUUUAAAUUAUGGUGAAAUACCCUGUGUUUGUUUGUUUUUUUUUUUUUAGACAGGGUCUCACUGUGUCACCCAUGCUGGAAUGCAGUGGUGUGAUCUCUGCUUGCUGCAACCUCUGUCUUCUGGGCUCAAGUGAUUCUCCUGACUCAGCCUCCUGAGUAGCUAGGAUUAUAGGUGCAUACCACCAUGCCCUGAUAAUUUUCUUAUUUUUAGUAGAGACGGGGUUUCACCAUGUUGCCCAGGCUGGUCUCAAACUCCUAAGCUCAAGCAAUCCACCUGCCUUGGCCUCCCAAAGUGCUGGGAUUACAGGCAUAAGCCAUUGUACCCGACCCCUAACUAUAUACUAUAUAUGUUUAUAUGGGGUUUUUUUGUUGUUUUUUUGAGAUGAAAUCUCACUCUGCCACCCAGGCUGGAGUACAGUGGCACAAUCUUGGUUCACUGCAACCUCCGCCUCCCGGGUUCAAGCAAUUCUCCUGCCUCAGCCUCCCAAGUAGCUGGGAUUACAGGCACGCACCACCACGCCCUGCUAUUUCGUUUUUAUUUUUAGUAGAGACAGGCUUUCAUCAUGUUGGCCAGGCUGGUCUUGAACUCCUGAUGUCAAGUGAUCCACCGGCCUUGGCCUCCCAAAGUGCUGGGAUUACAGGCACCAUCCACCGCACCCAGCCUCCUAACUAUAUGUUAAUAGGUGAAAUCUCACGUCUAUAAAGCUGGCACCCUUUAUGUAGUAUUUUAUGUCCUUUUAUAAGACCUUAAUUAAAUUCUUUUUCUUAGGCCAAGUGGUUUAUUACAAUGAUUGAACCUGAUUAUUGCCCAUAAAUAUAAAGAAAGUUGAAAUCUUUAGUAAUAGAUUAGCCUCUGUUUUUCUCUGCUUUGCUAGUAUAACGUCCCUCCAAAGAAGAAGCUAAAUCAACUUAAUUGUACUGAAGUUGCUCCUACUGCCCACCCAUCCCAACAAAUAUGGAAUGCACAAUUAAACAGAAUGGAAUUUUUUUUUUUUUUUUUGAGACAGGGUCUCACUCAUUGCCCAGGCUGGAGUGCAGUGGCAGGAUCUCAGUUCACUGUAGCGUCAACCUCCCCAGCUCAAGAGAUCCUCCCUCCUCAGCCCUCCAAGUAGUUUGGACUACAGGCAUGCAUCAUCACACCCAGCUAUUUUUUGUAGAGACAGGGUUUUGCCAAAUUGCCCAGGCUGGUCUUGAACUCCUGAGCUCGAGGGAUCUGCUCGUAUCAGCCUCCUAGAGUGCUGGGAUUACAGGCGUGAGCCUGGCCAGAAAUUCUUUAAUCCAUGGUAACGUCCUUUUUUUUUUUUUUUUUUUUUUUUCUGAGACAGAGUUUUGCUCUGUCGCCCAGGCUAGAGUGCAGUGGCGCGAUCUCAGCUCACAGCAAGCUCCACCUCCCGGGUUCACGCCAUUCUCCUGCCUCAGCCUUCCGAGUAGCUGGGACUACAGGAGCCCGCCACUGCACUUGGCUAAUUUUUUGUAUUUUUAGCAGAGACGGGGUUUCACCGUGUUAGCCAGGGUGGUCUCGAUCUCCUGACCUCAUGAUCCACCCGCCUCGGCCUCCCAAAGUGCUGGAAUUACAGGCGUGAGCCACCGUGCCCGGCCAAUCCACGAUAACUUUCAUAGCCACACUGGUUUUCACAGAAGCACAUUUAUUGCAGUGUGGAAAAUACAGGAAGUCGAUUCAGGUAUUUGUGUGUGUGAGGCAGGUGAGCGUGGUGGAGUGGGAAGAGCUUAUGUGAUUUGGGAGUUAACUUGUCCUCUCUGUGAAACUGGGCAGUAACCUUUCUGAUAGGAAUUUUUUUCUGUUUGUCAGAAAGGAGUGACGCCCCACAGGGAGUUAGGUGAGACCAGCUGUUCAGUCACCAUUUACCUCGCACUUGCAGUGCAAGGCCCAAAGGAUAGAUAUAGCUGUGAACAAGAACAAGACAAGCAAGCCUGGCUUCACAGAGUCUACAGGCCAGAGGGACUUCGGCUGUGAACAGAUAGUUCAAAAAUACAUAUCUAAAAAAUUUCUUUUUCUUUUGAGACAGAGUCUCUCUCUGUCGCCUAGGCUGGAGUGCUGUGGCACAAUCUCAGCUCACUGCAACCUCUGCCUCCCGGGUUCAAGCGAUUCUCCUGCCUCAGCCUGCUGAGUAGCUGGAACUACAGUCAUACGCCACCACACUCGGCUAAUUUUUUUGUAUUUUUAGUAGAGAUGGGGUUUCACCAUGUUGGCCAGGCCGGUCUGGAACUCCUGACCUCAAGUGAUCAACCUGCCUCGGCCUCCCAAAGUGCUAGGAUUACAGGCAUGAGCCACCGCGCCCAGCCCAUACCUAAUAUUCAUUUAUAGAAGUCCUACAAAGAAGUGAGAGUUUGGGGACAGAGAAUCUAGCCUAGCCUCGCAAGGUAAAGGCCUUCAUGAGAAAGGGACAUUUCAACUGUGACUUGAAAGUUGAACACAACAAGAAGUGCCCAUCCCAGUGUUUGGCUUUUUUUUUAGUGUUAAUAUCUGUGUGAAACAGGAGUAGAUAAAAUAAAUCAGGUGAUAGAUCUGUAAAUAUUUUGAAUAAACUCAGAGCGCUCAGUAUAAAAGGGCUGUAUUUAGCCUUGGAAAAUCAACAAAUUAGUUCACUGAAACUGCUGCUGAGGAUGGCUGUUGAUUAACAUUAGGCACUUGAUUAAGAUUAGGUCCUACUUUUUAAUUUUUACUUGUUUUUUAUAAGCCAUUUCUUCCAAGUUCCCAUUGAACUUGGGGGUUGAUAGUGGAAAUUGUUUUGGAGUUCUGGGCCUUGGAAGGUAGACCAGCUGCCAAGGGAAUUAGAAAGGUUCUUAGCUGCAAAACUGGUAAAUGGGAAGAACAGAACGUGGAGUCAUACAAAUUUGGGUUCAGGUCCUGGUUCUGCCAUUUAUCACCUGUGUAACUAUCAGAAAAACUUGUAACUAAUCAACUUGUCAUUUUUUCAGCUGUAAAACAGGAAUAAGCCGGGUGCAGUGGCUCACACCUGUAAUCCCAGCUCUUUGGGAGGCCAAGGUGGGUGGAUCACUUGAGGCCAGAAGAUUGAGACAAGUCUGGCCAACAUGGCGAAACCCCGUCUCUACUAAAAAUACAAAAAAAUUAGCUGGGCGUGGUGACACAUGCCUGUAGUCCCAGCUACUUGGGAGGCUGAGGCAGGAGAAUCGCUCAUACCCGAGAGAUAGAGGUUGUGGUGAGCCAAAAUCACGCCCCUGCAUUCCAGCCUGGGCGACAGAAUGAGACCCUGUCUCAAAAAUAAAUAAAUAAAACGAAUAAAAAUAUCAGUCUUCAGGAGUUAUAGAAAUCUGUAAGGGUAAGUAAAAUACUUGAAUCAGGUGUGCAAAUUAAGGAAGAGGGCACAGUGUUUGUACUCUCCAGGACUGGUUCUGUUUCCUUCUUACCCUUGUUCAUAGGUGAACUGGCCUGCCCACUCACAUCUUAGCAUCUGUGUUUGUUCUUUGCAUUUAGGCACUGCUGACUUCAGGACUAAUGCUUAUAGACAGGACCCAGUGUUCACUUAGUUUCUUAGGGUAGAUGAGGACACAUUGCUAGCCAGACCUUUUUUUUUUCUUCUUCUUCUUCUUCUUCUUUUUUUUUUUUUAAGAGAUUUGGUAUAUUAGUGAUAAGCUUUUAAAAUCUGAGCCUCCAGAACCUGAUGUGUUUGCCUCCUAGGUAUCUCUCAAACCCAACUCUUCUCCAUGCCUGUGACUGCUGUCCUCACACGGGCUCUGGCUCUCUCCCCUCACCUCUGCUGACCAGCUGCUCUAACUGCCUCCAGUCUUCCUUCCCCAAGGCACUCCUGGAUUUUCCUAGCAUUAGCAUGUAACCGUAUCACUGCCCUGAUCAAAGUCUUCAGGGGCUUCCCAGGGCUUCAGCUCCUCAGCAAGGCAUUCCCAAGCCUUCCAGCCUUAUUCCCCGUCCUUCCUAUUACCUCGAGGUGUGUGGACCAUGACAGUUCCUAUCUUUGUUUUCAGAGCGAUCUUUUCCUCUGCCUAAAAUAUCCUUUCCCACCUUCUUCAACUUUAUACUUCUUCCAGGACAGCCUGGAUGACCUCUCUAGGACACACCUAGGGGAAAUAGUUGGAUACACUAUUGUAUAUCAUGUGCGUGUGUGUGCAUUCCCUGUGGCAGUCACUUUGUUGCCUACCCAACUAUUCGUUUUUUUUUUGAGAUGGUGUCUCCCUCUGUCACCCAGGCUGGAGUGCAGUGGCAAGAUCUCUGCUUACUGCAACCUAUACCGCCAGGUUCAAGUGAUUCUCCUGCCUCAGCCCCCCAAGGAGCUGGGACUAGAGGCGUGUGCCACCACGCCUGGCUAAUUUUUGUAUUUUUAGUAGAGAAAGGGUUUCACCAUGUUGGCCAGGCUGGUCUCUAACUCCUGACCUCAAGUGAUCCACCCACCUCAGCCUCCCAAAGUGCUGGGAUUACAGGCGUGAACCACCAUACCCAACCCCAACUACUCUUUCAACAACCAAUGUUCUUUCCUUACAGAGCCUCAGUUUUUUUCUUUUCAGAUAUAGAGUAGAAAUCUUCUGAUGCCUUGAGGAGAGGGAAAGAAUCUACCUUAGCUUGAGAAGUGAAUCCUGAUUGGUUGAACAACCAAGGCAAUCUUACUCCCUUCGGCCAGUGGUGGAUCUGCAGAGUUGGGGGAAUGCGACCCAGUUCUGGCCAGUGAAAUGUAAAGGGAAAUGUGUUACUAGAGAAGCUUCUCUUCCCUAAUAAAAAGAUAGAACUUCAGAAUACAGCCCUCCUUUUGCCUGCCUGAAAACCUGUGUGAUGGCCAGGGCGGCGGCCACCACCUAAAGAAAAGGCUAAGAGAAUUACAGUCAUUGGUCAGGCACUAUCAAUCAUGAACUCACUACCACUGGGCUGCACAUGUGAGCCACUGUACAGGGAUGUUGGUAACUCGAAAUGGACCUAUUCCCAACUGAUAGUGAUGCACAUCAGACUGUCAGUAGUUCCCUGCGGAAAUGGGUGGGGCAUUGUAAGGGGAGCUAACUCUUCUGUAUGGCAAAAGAGUCUCCUCUUGGGAGUUUUAUGGGCUACCUAUGUGCAAUCCACCAGAUAUAAAACCAUAGAUUUUAUAAAUGGUUUUAACAUGAAGAGGGACUGUGAUAAAAUGAGCACAAAUGUAAUGUAGUUUGCCUCUGCAAACUAGGAUUUGGGUGAUUGGGUUUAUUUUGUAUUUUUAUUUUUUGGGGAUAGGGUCUCACUCUGUUACCCAGGCUGACUUGAACACAGCUCUCUGUAGCCUUGACUUCCCAGGCUCACGGGAUCCUCCUGCCUCAAGCAAUCCAGCCUCCUGAGUAGCUGGAAGCACAGGUACACACCACCGUGCCCAGCUAAUUUUUUUUUUUUUUGAGAUUGGGUUAUCACUCUGUCAGCCAAGCUGGAGUGCAGUCGCGUUUUCAUAGCUCACUGCGACAUUGACCUUUCUUGCUCAAGCGAUCCUCCCACCUCAGCCCCCUGAGUUGCUGGAACCACAGGCACACACCACCAUGCCCAGCUAAUUUUUGUAUUUUUUCUAGAGACAGGGUCUCGCUAUGUUGCCAGGGCUGGUCUUGGACUCCUGGGCUCAAGAGAUCCUCACGCCUCACCCUCCCAAAUUCCUGGGAUUCAAGGCAUGAGCCACCGUGCCCAGCUAAUUUUUAAAUUUCUUUUGUAGAAACGGGGUCUCCCUAUAUUGCCCAGGCUGGUGGGCUCAAGCAGUCCUCCUGCCUCAGCCUCCCAAAGUGCUAAGAUUACAGAUGUGAGACACUGCAUCUAUUGGUUUUAUUUUUUACUUUGUAUGUGUGUAGUAAUCAAACAUGCAUUUAAAAAUUUUUGUUACAAAAUGCACAUAACAAAAUUUACCAUCUUAACCAUUGUAUGUAUUUUUUUUUUUAAUUUUGUUUUUUGAGGCGAAGUCUUGCUCUGUCGCCCAGGCUGGAGUGCAGUGGCACAAUCUUGGCUCACUGCAACUUCCGCCUCCUGGGGUUCAAGCGAUUCUCCUGUCUCAGCUUCCCAAGUAGCUGGAACAGGCACACACCACCACACCCAGCUAAUUUUUGUAUUUUUAGUAGAGAUGGGGUUUCACUACGUUGGCCAGGCUGGUCUCGAACUCCUGGUGUCAGGCGAUCCGCCCACCUCGGCCUCCCAAAGUGCUGGGAUUACAGGCACGAGCCAUCGUGCCCAGCCUAUUUUUUUUUAGACAGAUUCUCACUCUGUCACCCAAGCUGCAGUGCAGCGGCGCAAUCUCGGCUCACCGCAACCUCCGCCUCCUGGGUUCAAGCGAUUCUUGUGCCUCAGCCUCCUGAGUAGCUGGGAUUACAGGCGUACACCAUCACGCCCAACUAAUGUUUGUUAUUUUUAGUAGAGAUGGGGUUUCACCAUGUUGGCCAGGCUGGUCUCGAACUCCUGACCUCAAGUGAUCUGCCCACCUCAGCCUCCCAAAGUGCUGGGAGAUUACAGGCGUAAGCCACCAGGCCUGGCCAUCUUAACCAUUUUUAAAAUGUACAGUUCAAUACAAUAUGAAUUGAGUACAUUCAUAUUGUUGUGCAGCCAUCAUCACCAUCCAUCUCCAGAACUCUUCAUCUUGCAAAACUGAAACUGUAUACCCAUUAAACAAUAACUCCCCAUUCCCUCCUUCUCCCAGCCCUGGUAACCACCAUUCUGAUUCUUAUCUCUAUGAUUUUGACUACCCUGGGUACCUCAUUUAUAUUGGUCGGCUCAUACAGUAUUUGUCUUUUUGCGACUCUCUUAUUAGAACUUAGCAUAAUGUCCUAAAGGUCAUCCAUGUUGUAGCAUGUGUCAGAAUUUCCUUCCUUUUUCAGGCUGAGUAAUAUUUCAUUGUAUGUAUCUACCACAUUUUGCUUAUUCAUCUGUCAUUGGACACUUGGGUUGCUUAUAUGUUUUAGCUAUUGUGAAUAAUGCUGUUAUGAACGUGGGUCUAUACAUACACAGUUUUUAUGUUUUAUAUUAAGAAAAAAAAAUUUAAGCUGUGAAAGCCAGCUGUGCACGGUGGUUCAUGCCUGUAAUCACAGCACUUUGGGAGGCUGAGGCAAGAUAAUUAUUUAAGUCCAGGAGUUCAAGACCAGCCUGGGCAACAUAGUGAGACCCCGUGUCUACAAAAAAAUACAAAAAUCAGACAGACAUGAUAGCAUGUGCCUAUGGUCCCAGCUACUUGGGAGGCUGAGGUAGGGAUCCCUUGAGCCCAAGAGGUCAAGGCUGCAGUGAGCUGUGAUUGCGCUGCUGCACUCCAGUCUAGGGGGCAGAGUGAGACCCUGUCUCUCAAAAAAAAAAAAAAUUAACUAAAAAAAGAAAAGCUGUUGAAGCCAAAUCAUCUAUUUUGAGUUUAUGCUUUUCCCCUGAUUUCUCAUUUUGGAGCCGGUCUUUCGGCUGCUUUAGCCAACUGUAACAUUUCCCCACCAGAAGGAAAAAUUAAAGUGGAAAGCUGGUCUCCCUGUUUAAAACAUAAUAGUGUAGUGACAUGGUUAACUGUGUUUUGUGGUUAACUGAAUUCAAGAGCUCUACCUGCUUCCUACUUCCUUUCCUCCCUCCCUCCCUCAUAGCUAAAAAGUUUAACUUCUCACCGCCUGUAUAAUUCUCUAAAAAAUUUUGACCUUCUUUGUCUCUUUGUCUCUGAAACUGUUCCCUGGAGAGUCACUGUGUGCCCAUAGUCUGGGUGUUCCUUCAUUGUACUGACUAUGUUGUAACGGAAUCAUCAGUCUGUUUCCACAGUGAACUAUAUAGGAGACCAAAAAAGCAACUAAUUCAGUUCACUAAAUAUCAAGUGCUCCCAUGUGGCAGCCACCACUGGGCACCCAGAGCUCAGUAAUGAUGAGCCAACUGGGUACCAAGACACUCUUCAUGGAACAUCUCUUUUUUAAGGUGGGAAGAGGUGGUAUUUAGAUUUACUGAUUUGGUGGGCAUCAUAGAAUUUGAGUGAAAAGAGACCCUGGAGCUGAUUUAGUCCAGUUACUUGAUCUGUAAGCACGGUCCUGAGAUCGGCUGUUGAACUGCUAGAGUUUUUCUGCUUUCAUCCUGGUUGCUCAGUGCGCUGUAACGAACGCUGAUUUUCUUAAGUUGGCUCUCUGGCCCUGAUCUUCCUCUACUCAAAAGCCACCACCCUUCUGCAUAUAUCUUCCUGGCAGUUACACCAUGUUAUCUGCCAUGUCCCAGCUGUCUCCUUGCUUUGCCUUCUACCUGGAAUGUAUUCCUCCCCACACUCUGCCUCUGGACACUUAAUCCUUCAACUUCCGCCUGAGAUGCCACUUUCCCAGCAUUCCAGCCCGACAUAAGCCCUCCCUCUUGAGCGACCAUAUUCCCCUGAUCAGCAUGGUAUGUGUGUUACACAUGGCUUUGGGCUUUGAACUGUACUUGUAUGUCUCUGUUGAAACCUGCCACUCCUCCUAUCAGUCCAGCUAGCUGUGUUGAUAUGUUACGUGAGCACAAAGAAAGGAAUGGGAGAUACACACUCAUUAGUUAAUAAUGGUUACCUUAGGCAAGGCAGGGGAGAGAAUAAAGAAUUAAAGAUGAAACUCAUCCACUGACCUCCCAGCAAGUGUGUGCAAUAAGAGCUCACUAUUCAAAGCUAUGAGACAUGGCCACAUGUGGGUCACUGGGAAGCAGAUUGAGAAGUGCAUCUAGGCUGUUCCAGCUGGUACAGGUCACGUCAGCAACUCAGCUGAGGAUUUAGAGACUGCUUUCAGAAGCAUGGGAUAGCCUUUACAGUGAAUCAAACAGAGCUCCUACUUAGGGGACAAAGAGCAAAAUCACUCCUCGCACCUCCUCGCAUCUGUGUCUUUGACUGCAGCUGCCUAUUCACUAGUUCUCAUCCUGCCUGUGACCCAGCUCUCCCAUCUUGUCUCUCGCAGUCUCUUCCUGUCCUCCUCCUGGUGUGUCAGUUUUUUCUUUUCCCGUCCCUGGUAUGUCUGUCUUCCCACCCCCUCCUCCCUUUUAAUAGAGGCACUGUGUGUAUUUCACACUUGUUCUGUUUAUUGGCGAUGGCUUUCUAUGUUAUUAAUAGAGCCAGUGGCCAGCAGAUGCAUUGUGCUUUGGGGCUUUCUUUUCCCCCUUGAAAAAUUCCAGCCUAAGUUAUUUUUCAGUGAGUAAACAGGCUUUAAUUGAUUUCUCUCCCUGUGGGUCAGUGAUCUAUAGAGAAGCACUGCCCCCCGGUCCCCUUGAACCACAGGGCUGGAAAAGGCCAGAGCCUCUGGAGCUCUGCAUGGGCCCCCACAGCUGGACCCCUAGCCUGCCCUCGCAUCCUGUCUUCCUUCCUUCCUUCCCUCCCCCCAUCCACCCACUGUAUAAAUCAGAGCCCUGGGGGCCAGCCUGCGUCUCCACACCUACUCCACCGACAAGCCAGGUCUCCCCGGUGUUUCUCCUUCUCCCCUCUUGGGUGCUGGGAAUGGGAUGGGCUAGGCCUCCUCUUUGGCAUUUCCUCUGGGUCUGCAGACUGGCAAGGUAAAAACUGUUUCUCAAACUCUCUGGGAACUGGGGUCCUGGAAGAAGACUGGGCUUCUUCAAUCAGAUGUUCCGUUUGGGAAGGCUGAAGUCAGGUGGAUUAAUAGUCUUCCCCCUAUUUUGUUUUCUGGCAAGUUCAUGGAGACGGAGCUCAUUCCGUGUCUGCGCCUCGGUUUGUGGGCGCCAGGAGGAAGUUGUUGCAGGAGUGGUCACAUUGUUUUCUGAACCCCUGGUCACCCCGCAGCUGCACACUCUUGAACUCAGUAAUGCUAGUGGAGGCCCCCUGAUCCCACCUUCCUGACUUGGCUCUUUUUGGUGGGUCAGCCAUUCCCGGAUCCCCAGCCCAUUGUUUUCAGCCUAUCCCAUAAGCUCCUAAUUCCCUGUAUUAACCCUUGUCAGUUUAAAUACUGAGAGUAAUUUCCUACACUUCCCACAUCAGACCUGCACCCCAAGCCCCACCCCUGGGGCUCCCCUGUGGCCUUCCAGCUUCCGCUCAUCACUCACCCCCACAGCCCAUGGCAUUUUAAAGACAAAUCUAAUCAUGGAAUUCCCUUGCUGAGAACCCUUCAAAAGACAGUUUUACUGAAAAGGAAAUGCAAACCCCCGACCAAGGCUUAAGGCGUAGCUCCUCCCCUGCCUGCUUCAACUCCUGUCGUAUGCCCCUCGCACAGGCCAGAUUCCUCAAACACACCACACUCCUCCUUCCUCAUUGCCUUAGCACAUGUGGUUCCCUCUGCCUGGAAUGCUUUUCCCUUGCUCUCCUGUUUCUUUGCUCUGCUAGUUCCUCUUCUCCAGGUCUCAGCUUAAAUAUCUCCGCUGCAAAGAUCCUCUGCUUACCGCGAGCCGGGCAGCUCCACCCUCCCCAAUAUUCCUUCUCCCUCACCCCAUCUGUGUUUUCAUAGCAGCGCAGUUUGCAGUUCUGUGCUGGUUUGGGUGCUUGGUUAUCUCUCCCUGUUGAUUGUGUCGGUUGCUACUUGAUUCCACUGCUGCUUACAAAGAGCGGCUCAAUCAAUGCUCCUGAAGUGAAAGCCUGCCGAGGCAGUGAGGCCACGCCCAGUUAAGAGCAGCCUUUGGGGCUGCGGUUGUUAGCAAAGAGCUAGUAUCGCAAGCCUUACACAGAGAGGUGCUCAAUAUCUGAACUGGAUUGAAAGUCACUUCCCCUCUGGGAGCCUCUGUUGUUCCAGUUCCCAAAACUCAAGGGCCCUGGUUGUCCCGAGAGGAGAACCAACUUCCUGCUGUAAAUUCAGCCUGUAUUUUACACAUUGCAUAUGCUUGGGCUUGGUUUAAACUGUCCAGCCUGCUUUAAACCAAGUUACAAGGGUCAGGUCCUACAAACAACCAAAAGAACUCCUUAGCAGAAUGGGGCCUGGGUCAUGGAUGUAACUCUGUCCUAAGGGCAGAUUUAUGGGCCUACCUUGGGGGCAAAGUAACAACUCAGCCUUAAAUCAUAAAAGCUGUGAAAGCAGUAAGGCUGCUUCUGGAGUGGGCGACUUUCUCGGAAGCUCCAUGGUGAUGGUGAGCCGCUUGGACGAGCUGGAAGAGGUCAGGGCAGAUGUGAGGGAGCCAACUUCCUGGGGCACCUACUGGGCAGCAGCCUCGAGUGUCAGCUAUCCUGUGU
rnacentral:lncRNA from 1 species